GAUGAACGCUGGCGGCGUGCCUAAUACAUGCAAGUCGAGCGAACAGACGAGGAGCUUGCUCCUCUGACGUUAGCGGCGGACGGGUGAGUAACACGUGGAUAACCUACCUAUAAGACUGGGAUAACUUCGGGAAACCGGAGCUAAUACCGGAUAAUAUAUUGAACCGCAUGGUUCAAUAGUGAAAGACGGUUUUGCUGUCACUUAUAGAUGGAUCCGCGCCGCAUUAGCUAGUUGGUAAGGUAACGGCUUACCAAGGCGACGAUGCGUAGCCGACCUGAGAGGGUGAUCGGCCACACUGGAACUGAGACACGGUCCAGACUCCUACGGAGGCAGCAGUAGGGAAUCUUCCGCAAUGGGCGAAAGCCUGACGGAGCAACGCCGCGUGAGUGAUGAAGGUCUUCGGAUCGUAAAACUCUGUUAUUAGGGAAGAACAAAUGUGUAAGUAACUAUGCACGUCUUGACGGUACCUAAUCAGAAAGCCACGGCUAACUACGUG
rnacentral:rRNA from 1 species